rnacentral:tRNA from 1 species
UCCCCUGUAGCUCAGUUGGUAGAGCAACGGACUGUUAAUCCGUGUGUCGCAGGUUCGAGUCCUGCCGGGGGAGCCA